rnacentral:sRNA from 1 species
GGUGCUAUCCUAUCUGAGCUUAUCUUUUUCCUUUUUUUUUUCUUUUUUUUCUUGACCUUGCAAGACUUUUUCUCCCGUAGACCAUCCUCCUGGCCGUCCUCUACUCCGCUCCCAAAUUUUAGUUCUUCUCUUCGCUUCUGCAGACCUUCCCACCACCCGCCCAUUUGUCUAUCCCUCCUGAGCUA